GUUCCGUGAUGAUCAACCCCAUGCGUGUCAUCUGAGCCCACAAACCCCGUUUUCCUCCCGGCCGGCGUUCUGCUGUGCUGGGGAGCGGUUGCUGGGUGUCUGGCGCAGUGAUCAUUGCUGAGAAGGUCCCUGAGAAC